UACGUAGGGGGCGAGCGUUGUCCGGAAUUACUGGGCGUAAAGCGCAUGUAGGCGGGCGACUAAGUCAGGGGUGAAAACCGUGGGCUCAACCUACGGCUUGCCCUUGAUACUGGUCGUCUUGAGUACAGGAGAGGGAAGCGGAAUUCCCGGUGUAGCGGUGAAAUGCGUAGAUAUCGGGAGGAAGGCCGGUGGCGAAGGCGGCCUCCUGGGCCUGCACUGACGCUGAGGCGCGAAAGCGUGGGGAGCAAACAGG
rnacentral:rRNA from 1 species